ensembl:lncRNA
CUAAAAGUGAAUGUUACAAGUAUCACCCGGUGAAUAAAAGGUAUCGACCAAUUACACGGCCACCAACGUCGAUCAAGAACAGAUAGAUCUAAAAGCCACUCGUCGGUCCUCUGCCAGUGCAAAUCUAUUCAAACGGUCGCACAUUUCCAUUGCUGCAUGUAUGAAUAUUCCUGAAGAUAUAAUUUAGCUUCAAUCAACGCCCACAUUCUCAGUCUUGUCACCGCCAAAUCUGCACACAUUGCUGCUGGUCCUCCUCCCGGUCCACACCUUGGACCUCGCCAUGAGACAAGAGGACUGAGACGUUCUGUCGGCCUCUCCUGCGAUCCGUCCCGCGGAAAGCUGCAGAGUUUACUGUUCAAACGCAGUACAUGAGUGCACGGAGGGGGAAAGGCGGUUCCUACUCUCGGUCGCUUGGACACUCAGCUGGCCCGGGACUUUUCCACCCCGCUGGACGCAAAGAUCACCCGGAGGCGACUAACCCAUUCUCCCAGAUGCGCAGCUGACUCGUCGAAGGAGGUUACCGGGGAGAAAUGACAAAGCCGUGUGUGAUGCACCGCCGAACUGAGCUGCAUCUUACAGCCCUCCUCCCCACCGGGCCUACGCCUGCGAAUUUAUACAUAUUUCAACCAUUUAUAAUGCAAAAACCUGUUCAUGCCAAAUGAAGGCAUCAUAAUGCCUUAAUAGCCAGUGAGCUUUACCCUGCUGCUUCCGCAUAAUCUGUUCAAUUUUGACAAGCUGUGAAAUUAAAUUUUUGUGUGACUUUAUUAUCAUUGUGGCCACUAGAGCCGUAAUAUUCCCGUCUAUUCGAUUCUGUAGCUCGGCGUUCCUCAUCAGACAACACUUGUUUAGACGGUUGCGCCCCCGAACUCACACACACACAGCAACACGUCAAUGGCGUCCACUAUCAAAAGCAUUUCAAUUGAUGGAAAUCUUAAAAUGUGGGGCAGGAGAGAGAAGUUACAACGACUGAACACAUGUAUUUAGUUAAAUACAUUUUCUUGUGAAUAUAUG